rnacentral:tRNA from 1 species
GGAGUGGUAGUUCAGCUGGUUAGAAUACCUGCCUGUCACGCAGGGGUCGCGGGUUCGAGUCCCGUCCGUUCCGCCA